CCAACGGCCCUUUUUAGGGCCAUCAUAUUUCUGAGCAAUGGAAUUU
rfam:Soboliphyme baturini genome assembly, scaffold: SBAD_scaffold0000427